AAAACUUUCAACAACGGAUCUCUUGGUUCUGGCAUCAAUGAAAAACGCAACGAAAUGCUAUAAGUAAUGUGAAUUGCAUAAUUCCGUGAAUCAUCAAAUCUUUGAACGCACAUUGCGCCCUUUGGUAAUCAUAAGGGCAUGCCUGUUCGAGCGUCAUU
rnacentral:rRNA from 1 species